rnacentral:rRNA from 1 species
GAGGAAAGAGGGAGGGGGGAGGAACACAGGCAAGUCGAACGGAAAGGCCCUGCUUUUGUGGGGUGCUCGAGUGGCGAACGGGUGAGUAACACGUGAGUAACCUGCCCUUGACUUUGGGAUAACUUCAGGAAACUGGGGCUAAUACCGGAUAGGAGCUCCUGCUGCAUGGUGGGGGUUGGAAAGUUUCGGCGGUUGGGGAUGGACUCGCGGCUUAUCAGCUUGUUGGUGGGGUAGUGGCUUACCAAGGCUUUGACGGGUAGCCGGCCUGAGAGGGUGACCGGCCACAUUGGGACUGAGAUACGGCCCAGACUCCUACGGGAGGCAGCAGUGGGGAAUAUUGCAAAAUGGGAGGAAGCCUGAUGCAGCAACGCCGCGUGCGGGAUGACGGCCUUCGGGUUGUAAACCGCUUUCGCCUGUGACGAAGCGUGAGUGACGGUAAUGGGUAAAGAAGCAACGGCUAAAUACGUG